AUAAAUGUAUAUGUUCUUCUUUGUAUAGUUAAUAUGAAAUAGAAUAGGAUACAUUGAAAGUUAAAUAAUCGGAAGAUAAAAUGUUUUUUAGUCAAACUGUAGUUUUUAAUAAAUGAUUGAUAAUAUUUUAUUAAAAUUUAUGUAUUUUUUUAUUAUUUUUAUUCAAUCGAAGUAAUAUUUAUAUUUCACAAUAUAUUAUAACCUUACUUUCAUAAUUGUCAUUUGAAUUUCAUCAAAAUGAUGCAACAGUAUAUGAAAGAAUUAGAACAGGAUCCAUUUGAUCCUGAAGAAUUUGUUGAAAGACUUGCUUGGAGAACACUUAAUGAUACGAUAAAAGACGAUGGAAAGACAUUUUUCGAUCCUACAAUAGUGCAUGAGACAUUUUUACAAGCAAUUAAAGAUUUACAAAUUCUACAAGAACGUCAACAAAAAAAAUGUGAUAAACUUGAAACAGCAUUAAAAGAUGAAGAAGCAAAACAUAUACUUGAAAUACUUGAAUUACAAGAAAGAAAUAAACAUUCUAUUGAUCUCUUUCAUCAAUUAGAUGAAAGAAUAAAUCUUGUGGCUACUAAGGUUUUACAUUUAGGAGAUCAAUUGGAAAGUGUUAAUACACCAAGAGCUAGAGCUGUUGAGGCUCAAAAAUUAAUGAGACAUUUUUCAGAUUUUUUAAGCCCUGGACCUUUAACAGAUCCAAUUUUUACAGAUAAGUCAUCGCUACAUGAAGCAGCAGAUGUGAUACAAAAACUUCAUCUUAUUUCGCAAGAAUUACCAUCUGAAAAAUUUGAACAUGCCAAAAAAAAAAUUAUUGCUAAAUAUGAUGAAAUUGAAAGAAAUCUUAUAGAAGAAUUUGUUAGAGCACAUAAUAGGGAAGAUGCUAAUCGUAUGAAAGAAUUAGCAUCAGUCUUAACUCAUUUUAAAGGAUAUUCUCAAUGCAUAGAUGCAUUUAUAGAACAAAGCCAAAUGGGUUCAUUUGGUGGAAAGGAUGUUUUUCAAGAUGUUAUACCUAUGUGUACAAAAUAUCACAAAUUAAUGCAACAGGUAUUUACAAAUCCUGAACAAGUGAUGGCAAAAUUUGUAUUAAAUAUUUAUCAUUUAAGACUUCAAAAAUAUGCAGUUGCUAAAUUAGUAGAUAAAACUGAUUCUGAUAAAUAUCUUAAAAAUUUAUAUGAUUUAUAUACAAGGACUGUGAAAUUGUCUACAGAAUUAAAAAUAUUUAAUAUAUGUACUGAUGAAACAUAUCUUACUAAACUUACUAGAAAUAUAUUUCAAAAAUAUCUGGAUACUUAUAUCAUCAUUGAAAUAAAAGCAUUGAGAGAAAAAUCAGCAGCUCUUCUUAUUGAAUAUUAUGAAUCUAAAAAUCAUCAAAAGAAACAAUUGCAAAGUGGAGGAUUUCAAGAAUUAAGAAGAGAUCUACAAGCAGUUUUAGGUGCAAGAACUAAUAUCAAUAUUGCACAAAUAGAAAAUUAUGGAGGAGAAACAUUUUUAUCAGAAGAACUUGCAAUUGCUUUAUUACAAAGAAGUAAAGUGGCAUUUCAAAGAUGUCAGUUAUUAUCAAAAUCUGAUGAAAUACCAAUGAAUGCAUUUCAAAUUUUUGAAAUAUUAUUACAAUAUUUAAUAAGUGAACAUGUUGAUUAUGCAUUAGAAUUGGGUUUACAAAGUGUACCAAUUCCUGAAAGUAGAACUCAACCUGAAAUACAUUUUUUCAAUAUUGUACGUCAAUGCAAUGCAAUUGUACGCUUAUUAGAAGAACAAUUUAAUGAUAGUGUGAUACCUCUUAUUAUAUCAACACCCAAACACGGAGAUUGCAUGUUAAAAAAAAAAAUUAUAUUGGAUCAAAUUGAUAUGAAACUAGAGACAGGAUUAGAUAGAAGUAUAAAUGCUAUUAUUGGUUGGGUAAAAGUAUACUUACAAAAUGAACAACGAAAGACUGAUUUUAAACCUGAAACUGAUGUGGAUACUUUAAGCACUUCAGCUUGUUUAACAGUAGUUCAUUUCAGUUUAAUUCUGCUGGUGCUAUGUGUGCGAUAUGCGAUAUGAACGAAUAUCGUAAAUGUGUUAAAGAACUUGAAAUAGAUCUUGUUACUUCUUUGUUUGAUACUUUAUAUGCUUUAUGCAAUUUAUUAUUAGUUAAACCAGAAAAUUUGAAACAAGUUUGUACAGGAGAUCAAUUGGCAACAUUAGAUCGUAAUGUUUUAAUAAAUUUUAUACAAUUAAGAACUGAUUAUAAGACGCAAAAAUUAGCAAAUUGUUUGAAAGGUUUAGCUACCUAAUAACUUUGUUUGAUCUAUAGAUGUUCAUAAUUUUUUAGGAUUAUACACAAUAUUUAUGAUUAUAAUAUUAAUAUCAUUGUGUAAAUUAAUAAGUGAAGAUAUUGCUUUCAUUGCAAUAAUAAUACUGUACUAUAUAACCAAUUGUACAAAACUUUGUUAUAAAAAUGUUAUAUAAAUCGUUAAAAUAUAUAAAAA
rnacentral:misc_RNA from 1 species